rnacentral:rRNA from 1 species
AAACGAUUGAAGCCAGUAGGACCAUGGAGAGUUCAGCAGUACCCAUCGAGUAUUGUUGCAAUGAGAACAUUUUACGGUGUCUCUAGCAAUGUACGCAGGUGGACUAUUGUGCAUUCUUUUCAUGGUUAGUCAGUGUCAAUUUGGGUUGUCGCAAAAGGACUUUGAGAAGGUGGCCAAUGCCUCGGUAUUGGCUUUAUAGCUCAUUGUAGAUACGAUGACCUAGAUUGGAGUCGACAACAGCUAACAGGGGUGCUGGAUCUGCGGUCGUGGACACUUUAGAAUCAGUAGAGUCUAGAGUGGCAUCUGACCGAGACAAGGUGUCUUGGAUGCUGUGGUGAGUACUGACGAAAUGGCUUUAAACGA